CAUGGCAUGUUCUCCUCCACCAGUCUUACACACUACUUUUGGAUAACUUUAUGCUGCUUUACUCCUGGUGCAAACAUUCAAGCAGUUCAGUUUGGUUUGAUGGCUUGUGAUCAUCCAUCUUCCUCUUGAUUAUAUUCCAGAGGUUUUUAAUUUGGUAAAAUCAAAGAAACUAUAUUAUUUUUUAUCUCAUUUGAUAAACACAAGUUGGGACACUUUUACCUGCUGUGUGAACAAAAAAAAACCUAGAGACAAUUUCUUCCCUGAUUCCAGUCUGUUUAUUAGGGGUGCCUGACUGGAUUUAUCUGUAUCUCUGCACAUGAUAGGUCAGUUUCAGGUGAAGUGAUAGGCAGCUGGUGCUCCUCUCCUCCCCUGUGUGUGUUUUUGCCUCAUUGGUGUGGAUUGUGUUUCUCCUUUUCUCUUCACAAGCCAUAUUAUUACUCCACAGCUCUGUGGAUUCUCUAUGAAUGAUUUAUCAUGAUAGUUACUGCUCAUCCUUAAAGAGGCACCUUAACAACAAAAAGACAAUGACACAUUUUCCACCUUAACUCAAAUGUAGUCACUCAGCCAAGACCUGAUCGGUGUCUGAAGUUCUUCACUUCUUCAGUUUUGCACUGGAGCUACGACGCUAACGUAGCUAACAAGUAAUGAAAGCCUAUAAUCACCGAGUUUAUCAUCUCUGAACUGCAUGCACAGAUCAUCACAUUACUCCACACUGCUCUGAGCUGGACUUGAUUACGUGGUUUCUGACACUGUGGUACGACUUGGGAAAUGUGUGUGAUUUUUUUUGUUUGUUUGUUUUUUAUCCCAAAAAAUAUAUUUAAAGAUGUUAAAAAUGUAAUUACAACAUUACAAAAACAAAAAUACUGAUCAGUUUAUCAAUAGUGAUAAAAAACCUUUUUGAACUGUCCAAAAGAUUUAUAUUUUUAUUUUAAAAAUGAUUUAGCAAAAAUAAAGGUGUUAUUUUUUUCAUUCUAAAUUACUAAAUUUAUUCAUCAUAAAAUUUAAGUCAUUUAAAAAUAUAUAAAUAUUUAACAUUUUACAUUAAAAAAUAUAUACUAUACUAUUUAUAUUAGAAUUUUACAGAUGAAAAAGUCAUUCAGAGAGCUGGUAUGAAAUGUGCUGUCCUAAAGAAACUUUACCACAUGGCUGAUUGUGAUGGCACUUACAGUACCAGUCAAAAGUUUGGACACACUUUAAAUUCAGUGGUUUUUCAUUACUUUAAAAAAUGUCUGCUUUGUAGAUUAAUACUUCAUUAAUAAGUCAUCCAAACUAUGAAGAAAUUCAAAUGGAAUUAUUUAGAAAACAAGAAUGUGUUAAAGAAACCCAAAUUGUUUUAUAUUUUCAGUCACCUGGAAUGGCUCCCAGUUAACAGCUGUGCUGAACUCGUCAAGAGUUAAUUACUUGAAUUUCUUGUCUCUUAAUGUGUUUGAGAGCAUCAGUUGUAAAGUUGUGAAGAGUGAAUAGUCCUAUUUGACUAAAGUUCUAAACAUAUAACUACGUUAAGAAAGUAUUUUCUUCAACUAAGUAAAGAAAAAAAUUAGAAGAAAUGAAGGUGAAUCUGAAAAAAAAAUCAGGAACUUUAAAAGUAUCCUCAUGUGCUGUCACAAAGAUCAGUAAAAACGUAAUGAUGAAACUGGCUCUCAUCAGGACCAUCCCAGUAAAGGAAGACCAGUACAUUUUAAACAAGUUUAACAAACAUCAGGGAAAAACUACUUAAAAUAGUCCAUACUUUACCAGCAUAUUAGUGCAUAUAAUGCAUAUAAUGCUGCUGCAUCAUGGAACUUCAAUUUUAAAAGCUUAUGAAUAACACAAAUGGUUUGGAAAUCCUUUACUUUUAUUCAAUGACAAAGCCAACCAAAAUAUAUUCCAUUUUUUAUGUUGCAGGAUGACAUUGUCCAGUAUUUUUUACAUCUAACUAGGGGUGGGAAUCACAGGGCAUCUUACAAUGUAUCACGAUACUUUUCCUAUGAUAGCAGUGGUAUCACGCUACUGUGAUUAUGGAUUUAUCAGUGUCAGAUUCACAGAAUUUGACAACCGAUAUUCUUCACCACAGGUUUACAAAUUACCUUCAUUUGAUUACAGUGCUUCCAUGUGUAGUAAUGAAGCAGCAACUUCAGUAAGUUAAAUUAGGUCUUGUCCCACCCCUAGAUCCAAACAUAAUGGAAACAUGUCCAUAAAAAAAAGUUGGACAGUACUGUGCGCUAAUGAGACAGUAAUAGAUAGAAGUGAUGAACUGUAUAAAAUUACAACUUUUACUGUUAAUGCUUGGUUUGAAUAUGUGUACUAUUCCACCCCUAAUACUUAAAGCAGCACUAGGUAGAAUUUCCUUGAUUUUUAAAUCUUUUUAAAGAAGUAAAAUUACAGCUUGAAACUCACUGCAGCGCUGCAUUGAGGUGUAAUAGGAGGAAUAGCGGUGCUCUCGUGUCUGUGCCGGAGCUCCUCUGAGCUCAAACCAGACUCUGUAAGUUUUCCGAGGCGGACGCGAUCAACGCUCGCGAGAACUGCGACCUGCUUUCCGACCUUUAGUUCUAAUAGUUCUACUGGUUCAUUCUUUACAAACUAACAUACAGACACUCUGGCAGAAGCUGGAAAUUGAACGAAUAUGUCUGUGAAAGCCAGAAAACAAAGAGAAACUAAUCCGCCUGAAACAUUUAUAACACUCUACAGCUGUAGGGGGAGCAAACGAGCACAUAAUCUCAAUCCUACCUAGUGGAGCUUUAAGGUUUUGUAAAACAAAUAAAAAGGGUGUAUUUUUGGUUGUAGACAUUGUGACCUUGUUCAUAAAACAACCACAGUUUAAUGUGAGGCGCACAUUUCAUUUCAGAACUCUCUGAAUUACUGUUCAUAUUAUAUUUUAAGUAUGAUCCUGAAUGGGGUUUAACGGUUCUAACCUGAUUUCUGUUCUUCCAGAAGCAGUCAUGUGACAGCAUAUUGAAUUAAUGUAUUCAAGCAUCACUGAAAACAUUACCUUUCUGUACAGUCAGUGCAUUUUCUGUCAGUGGUGAUUUUAAAAACUGUAAAUGUUUCCUUUUUUUCACCUAAAUUAUUCACAACAAUUCUCCAUUAUAGUGUGGGUGCGUUUUAUAGUGAUACUGUUACUCACUUCUGUACCGAGUGCCUUGAUACUAACCUGCUUGUGAAACAUAGGGCUUUUGCAUUUCCCAUGAAUAUAAUAUUAUAUAAAUAUACAUGACAGCACCAGAGACCGAGUGUGAAAGAGAGCGAUAUCGAGGGUGUAAAUUAGUGUUUUGCAAAAAACGAAAUCCUAUAUUGAGGUGAUAAAUGUGUUUUUAAAGGUUUGUAAUACUGUUUGGUGAGACUCUGUACAGAUUGUAUAACUGUACAGGCUGUUAUUGGACGAAUCUCUGCUUUGAAUCUGAGGUGUUGAUUCACAUCAUGCUUUUUUUUUUUUCUCUUUGAAUAGACGCAGUGACUUCUGUAAAUAUAUACAGUACAUAGAUCUAGAUUAUAUGCUUGAAAUAAAAAUGCAGAAUGACUGUCAGUGA